CAAAAGAGGAAUAUUUAUUGCAGGGUUAAAAGGAUCUAAUAUUGUGCGGGUGAAAUAGAUGCAUGCUGAACCGGGUUGGUGGCUGCUGUUCAGAGCAGGGGAAACCGUAGAUGAGAGUUCAGAGUGAGAGAGUCUGAUCCAGUUGAUCCAGAGCAGAAUCCGGGAAUAGUUUAGCUAUCAGAAUAGAAUACAUCCAUCAGAAACUGAGAGAGCUAGGAAGGCUUCUGAUAUGCUCAAGAAAAACCACUUCCUUGAAGACCAUUAAAGAUCACAUCAAACAAAGUUGUGGAAUCAGUAAAACACCUAGCAGGCUAUGACAGUAAAACCCAUGCAUACAGGUGCCCAAACCUAGCUCUCAAAAUUGGACUGAUCUUGACAAAGAUUUCAAUGCUUCUUGAAAGCCAUGCAAAUCUACAGAACGACUACAGUGCUGCAAAAGAUGCUCGUAAAUUCUGCAGAGUGUAUGAAACCAGAUGGAAUGAACUGAUAUCAGCCGCAUCACUGAGAACACUUCAGGAGUCUAAGUGGAAUAUUCCUCUGUUGCUUCCAUUCACAAAAGAUGUCCAGACACUGCAACAACAAGAUCUUCACAGUAAAUUGUCUACAGAGGUAUCCCCCCAGACGUGGGCAAAACUGACAAAGGUCAUUUUGGCACAAGUCAUUUUGUUUAAUCGACGAAGAGCUGGGGAGGUGUCAAAAAUGACCCUUUCUGCAUAUGUAUGUCAAAAUGCAUCAGACCCACGUGAAGAUGUGAAUGAAGCCCUCUCAGAUCUAGAGAAGAAACUCUGUCAGCAUUUCAGCAGGAUUGAGAUAAGAGAAAAAAGGGGAAGAAAAGUUCCUGUGCUUUUGACCCCAGUGAUGAAGCAAGGACUGGAUCUGCUUGUCAGCACACGGCAGGAAUGUGAGGUUCCUCGGGAGAACGUAUACCUAUUUGCAAGACCAUCGUCUUUUAACUGUUUCCAUGGGUCUGAUUGCCUUCAACACUUUGCCAAGGUCUGUGGUGCAAAAAGUCCUGAAAGUCUCACUUCUACAAAACUACGCAAAACAAACAGGAACACUGUCUCAAGUUCUCAACCUCAGUAAUACAGAGCUAGAUCAGUUAGCGGAUUUUCUUGACCAUGACGUUAGAGUGCACCGGCAGUUCUAUAGACUUCCUGAAGGCACCCUCCAACUUGCAAAAAUUAGCAAAGUCCUCAUGGCUCUGGAUCAGGGACGCCUGGCAGAAUUCAAGGGCAAGACACUGGAUGACAUUAACAUUGAUCCUGAAGUGCCAACAUGAUCCAGAACCCUUACCUUCAAUGAACAAAGUUGGAAUGAAUCCUUCCCUGGUGGACUACACAGAUUCUGAUUAAUCUCAGAGUCCAAGCACAAAUCAUGACCAGUUUAAUUCAAGCUGCCAGACAUGGUGUCCGACUUCUGAGUUUGAACUAAUCCUCACCCACCAGGACGGAGAUUAUAUUCCAAGGCUGAGGAGGACCAAAAGCAUAC